GGCGUGUUCGUCUACUGGAAGUUGUCACUUUUACUUGGGGUUAAGCAACGUAGGACACCAAUCUUUUCAGAUUGGAAACGUAGGUUCGAAUCCUGCACCCGCUA
rnacentral:tRNA from 1 species